rnacentral:lncRNA from 1 species
UCGUUUCCAUGGGCCCUUAGCCCACUGAGACAGUUUGGUAAAGGACUACUACUACAGUCCUGAUAUUCAGAGACAUGGAGAGAGCUAUAGUUUUUUUAUUAAAGGAAAGACAAAAUCCUACUAGAGGCCAGAAAAAGUGUUCCAGAGAUGGAUGGAAGGCCCUCACUUCUGCCUGCUCUUUUCAGACGCCUAAAGAUGGGAACAGUUCUCUUCAUGAAUGAAGGUCAGAGACAAGUGGGUGCUGCCAUGGUGGACAACACAAUGUCAUCUAGAAUGGCUGAACCUCUACCCCCCCCAGCACAUCAGCGCCACAGAUGCCUUUGCCAUCUCUUAGAUGCCCGGAUGAAGCCAACAACUGUGAGUACUAUUCAUUGCCCAGGAAAACAGGAGGGAAGAGAUUCAGUGACAUGGGGCAGUGACAAAACAGAUAAAGUGGCUCGGGAAAUGGCUAUACAGGAGCCUAUCCUGGUUACAGG